GCUUUUUAACAGCGCCCGCCCGGCCUCAGAACUGCCCGGAGAGAAGCCGCCUUGGAUGGACAGAGGGACGAGCAUCCAGCCAGUCGUGUCCAGGCUGCCCUGCAGCGGUCUCCAACGUCCGCUGCUGUCUGCCUGCUGCCCGCCUGCCCGGCAUCUCUCUCCCGGUUCCUUUCUCUAGGGGCUGCAGAGCCACCACAUGACAGACAGGACACCUGCCAGACCGCGGGGCAAGGCUGCUUCUCAGAGGACCAUGUUGCUGGCCCAGUGUCUGUGGUGACUUGGUACCGGGGAAGGCUGUACGUUGUUAAAGAAGCUGAUCCAUCCAUAUGGUCCUAUGCCGCAAUGCGUAUUUCAGAGAAACCUGUCCAUGACUUUAACAUGCAGGAGCAGAGGAUGGUAACAGGAGUCAGAUCCUAUUGAUGUGACUGGAUGCAAGUGAAGAAACAAUGCUCAUGAAGAAUUUAGAUAUGUGGGGAAGUGCUUGGGGUGUAACUUUAAUGAAAACUGGACAUAAAAAGACCCAGGUUCACAGUCUAUAAUAAAGAGCAGAAGCAAAUCCCA